rnacentral:lncRNA from 1 species
CCGGCUUUCGCCUCACGAAACAGCUAACAAAAGCUGCAGCUCUGGCUUUCACAAUGAAUCUCCAGGUUCUUGUUCCGAAAAUAUUGCCUCUCAGAGAGCAAUUUCGGUAUGUAAUCCAAUCCUAUUAUGAAAACAGAAUCAGAAAAAGCACUUCUAGUACUAAACCUGAAGCAGUACUCGGAGCAGGGUUGAACCUGAAAGCUGGAAUUGAGCAUUUCUGCUUACAUCCUGGAGGAAGAGCUGUGAUUGAUGGGACUGGAAAGGGCUUGGAAUUGGAUGAAUACGAUCUUGAGCCAGCAAGAAUGGCGCUUCAUCGAUUCGGAAACACA